GAUGAACGCUGGCGGCGUGCCUAAUACAUGCAAGUCGAGCGAACGGACGAGAAGCUUGCUUCUCUGAUGUUAGCGGCGGACGGGUGAGUAACACGUGGAUAACCUACCUAUAAGACUGGGAUAACUUCGGGAAACCGGAGCUAAUACCGGAUAAUAUUUUGAACCGCAUGGUUCAAAAGUGAAAGACGGUCUUGCUGUCACUUAUAGAUGGAUCCGCGCUGCAUUAGCUAGUUGGCAAGGUAACGGCUUACCAAGGCAACGAUGCAUAGCCGACCUGAGAGGGUGAUCGGCCACACUGGAACUGAGACACGGUCCAGACUCCUACGGGAGGCAGCAGUAGGGAAUCUUCCGCAAUGGGCGAAAGCCUGACGGAGCAACGCCGCGUGAGUGAUGAAGGUCUUCGGAUCGUAAAACUCUGUUAUUAGGGAAGAACAUAUGUGUAAGUAACUGUGCACAUCUUGGCGGUACCUAAUCAGAAAGCCACGGCUAACUACGUG
rnacentral:rRNA from 1 species